GACGAACGCUGGCGGCGUGCUUAACACAUGCAAGUCGAACGAAGUGGCGAACGGGUGAGUAACGCGUGAGUAACCUGCCUUUGACAUUGGGAUAGCCUCGGGAAACUGGGAUUAAUACCAAAUGGUCAAAGAUGGACUGGCGGCUGAUUAGUUAGUUGGUGAGGUAACGGCCCACCAAGGCGACGAUCAGUAGCCGGACUGGGAGGGUGGUCGGCAACAUUGGAACGGAGACACGGUCCAAACUCCGGCGGGAGGGAGCAGUGGGGAAUGUUGCACUAUGGGGGAAGCGCUGAUGCAGCGACGCGGGGUGAGCGAAGGAGGCCGGCGGGUCGUAAAGCUGUUUUAUGAGGGAAGCGGUACCUCAAGAAAAAGCCCCGGCUAACUACGUGCCAGCAGCCGCGGUAAUUC
rnacentral:rRNA from 1 species